rnacentral:lncRNA from 1 species
CUUUUGAGGGCCGCCCCCCGCAGCACACGGACGUUCCCAGGCUGGGCGGCGGUGGGUGGGGUGGGGGGGGGUGGUCGUCCAUCGGAGCCCGAGCUGCCGGCCUCCAGCACAGCCACAGCGACAGGGGAUCCAAGCCGUGUCUGGGGCCCACACCACAGCUCACGGCCCCGCCGGAUCCUUUCCCCUCGGAGUGAGGCCAGGGAUCGAACCCACUUCCUCAGGGAUGUGCGUCAGGCACGUGAACCGCUGAGCCACGCACGACGGGAACUCCGAGAGCCAGGAGACCAUUGGAGGACCGUCCAAAGUCAGCUGAAUUGACGGCGGGGGCGGGGGGUUGUGCACUUGGGCACAGCAGCUGCCCUUUCACCAAGCGCAGGGUCGCAUUCAUUCUUGGAUGUGGUUGCACAGUGUCAAGAACCUCCCGAUUCGCAGAGCUGAGGGGUGACAAGAUUGCCACAGUUUAAAAAAGCCCGCCAAAGCAAACGGGCACAUUCCCCGGCCUGAGGGGCCCCAUCGACGUCCCGGCUCUCAGCCUCGGGGCUGAGGGACUUGCUCUCUCCACCUGUUUCUUCCGCAGCCCUCUCGUACCUGCCCUCAUGCGGACAGGAGGAGAGGUCGCUUCAUCCACCUCCCCAGGGAGCAAAACCGGCAGCAGAAGUUCAAGCCAUCCGUGCACUCGAACACACACACACGCUUGGGCACUGGCUUUUACUAGAGCAUUUAAAGUCAAGUUUUGAAGUUUAAAACAAAUAAGAUUUUCCUGUUGCGGCUCAUCCGAAAUGAAGCCACUGGGUAUCCAUGAGGAUGCAAGUUCCAUCCCUAGCCUGCUCAGUGGGUUAAGGAUGUGGCGUUGCCGUGAGCUGUGGUGGAGGUUGCAGAGGAGGUUUGGAUCCUGUGUGGCUCUGGCUCUGGCUCUGGCUCUGGCCCGCAGCUGUAGCUCCGACUGGACCCCUCGCCUGGGAACCGCCAUAUGCCCCGGGUGCGGCCCUCCAAAGCAAAACAGAAAAAGAAAGAACGAACGAAAGUGAGAAAAGAUACAAAACAGUGAGGGAAAUAGAAGAAAGAUAAGGAGAGCCUGUUGCGGCUCGGCAGCAGUGAACCCACCCGGUAUCCAUGAGGAUGCACGUUCCAACCCUGGCCUUGCUCACUGGCUAAACGAUCCAGUGCUGAUUAGCCCCCGAGCCUGGGAACUUCUACGUGCCUUGCACUGUGGCCCUAAAAAGACAGACAGCAAGACAGAAAGUGACACCGGACAAAAAAGCAAGCAAGCAAGCAAGCAAGCAAGCAAGCAAGCAAGCAAGCAAGCGAGGCCGCCAAAACCAAAUGGGAGGAGGGAGAGAGAUGGCCCAGAUCGCUCCCUCCCCAAACCUUGGGCCGGAAAGCGGGGCCACUCUAACAGGUCCUGUGUGCCUCCUCCCCGGCAGGGGCUGUGGGGUGGUGGCACGGCUGAGGGACAGCGAGGCUUUCCGGACCCUGAUACAGGCUCUGUCCUCCAGCCAGGACCCAGGGCUCCCCCUUGGCAGUCCAGCUCAUCCACGGCUGACAGGAUGGACCCUUCCGGGCCUGUGACACUCACGGCUCCGGGAGGAGGCCAAACAGCCAGGCAAGGCCCCCAGCGGACGAGCGGGUGCUGAGCCGAGUGUGGAGGGUCAGGCAGGGGCAACGAAGGCAGGGAGAAGGGCUCGACGAGAUCCCGCAGGAGCCAGGGUCCCAUGGAGGCCGAGGGGGCGGGGGCAGCUUGGCAGGACCCCCCGGGGGGAGCAGCCCUGGAAGAGGCCUGCUGAGGCGGGUGGCGAGGGUGCCGGCAGGCCCGGAAGGGCAGAAGGAGACCUUUGGGGGUGCGUGCUGCUGGGGGUGGGCCGGGCUCCUCUGGCCUGCCCCACAUCUGGGUUUGGGCCCCCGAAGAGGGCUGCCGUCAUCCCAAGGACCCGGUGAGCUGGAGCGGGGCCCGAGCGGGAACCCAAGGCUGGACCUGGCUUCUGCCCCCAGGGUGGCUCGCCCCUUGCAUUGAAACAAAAGCAAAGCGGGUCCGAGUCCCUCCGAAGGGAAGGAUGAUGUGGAUGGGAUUUGACCGGAUGCUUGUGUGUUGAGGGCCGCACCCGUGGCACAGGGAGGGUCCCAGGCAAACAGAAAUAAAGAAAGCUAAUGCUUAUGAAAUCCAUCAUGGAGAACAACGAAACUUUCCGUGUGUGUGCGCGUGUGUGUGUGUGUGUGUGUGUGUGUGUCUUUUGUCGUCUGACGUUUCAGGGCCAUGUUUCCUCGGCAUGUGGAGAGUCCUGUGCUAGGGGUCCUAUUGCUGGUUGACAUAGUUUUGGAAGUCCUAGCUAGCCAGGGCCCUCAGAGAAGCACAAGACACAAAAGGAGUCCACAUGGGAAAGGAAGAAGUCAAGGGAUCCCUAUCCGCACACGACAUGAUCCUAUCCCCGCAGACCCCUCAAGACGCUCCCAGAAAACGGGUAGAGCGCCUCAGUGAAUGGGGCCAAGUCCCAGGAGGCACCAUGAACGCACAGAAACCGACUGCCUUUCUACACCCUGAGAACGAGAGCUCGGAGACAGACCUCGGGGAAACGAUCCCAUUUGCCGUCACCUCCCAAAGAAGAGACGGCUGAGGAAGAGACCUCCCUAGAGAGACGCAAGGCCCGUCCUGGGAACCCCCCAAGACGCUGAUGCAAGCAAUCCAAGAGGACACAAACUGAUGGCAAGACACACCUUGCUCUUGGAUUGCAAGAGCCUAUAGUAUCCCAAGGACCAUGCUCCCCAAGGCAGUCCGCAGAGUCACCGCCAUCCCUGUCAAAUGCCCAAGACCGCUGUUCACAGCACGAGACCAUGGGGUUGGUGGGGGAGGGGAGCUGGAGCAGCCCAGAGGGACCCUGGGGGAGACACGGGGAAGGAGGAAGGCCCGUUGGGGGGACCCCAGGAAGUGACCUCACUUCCCCGGCGACAGAGGCCAACGGAACUUGGAACCUGGGGAGCCGGGCACCUACUGGUCCAGUCCAGGAGAGGACGGAGGAGGGAUGGACUGGCUCUGCUGCAUCCCGCUCUCCCGAGGCCGAGCCCGAGGCCGAGGCCGCAGGCGUCGUCACGGCAGAGAUGGCCUCUGCCAAGCCUGCAGAACCUGGAUGAGAACGCGAGGCGGACGCCUAUGGGCCGUUGCCCGCAGGGACCCAGAGGUAACACCGGGAGAGGGAGCUCCAGCCAAGGGCAGGGACCUCUCUGAGCCCACACGG